rnacentral:tRNA from 10 species
GGCCCCGUAGCUCAGGCGGAUAGAGCGCGGGAUUCCUAAUCCCGAGGCCGCUGGUUCGAGUCCAGCCGGGGUCA